rnacentral:lncRNA from 10 species
UUUUGUAAGAAACACACCUACUUCUCAGCGGGAUCACGUGCUCAUCCUCUGUUCUAAAUCAGAAAUCAGAAAAUACAGGCCUGGACGAAAUUCCCCUUGGAAUUUUUGGGGGGCAAGUCACAAGGGCAUUGCUCAUUCCUCUUCUUUCCCUUAGAAUGCUCUCACUGUGUGAAUAAGGUCAGGCUAGCCUCCUGGAGGUUAGACACCAUAUGGGGUCAAGACAAGCCGUGCCAGCUAAAACUAUCCUAAACCAGCCAGGCUCCAGCUGAUUUGGUAGCAGGCCACAGAUAGAGGAGGAGCCCAGCUGAGAUCAGCUGAUGUACUGACUAUUAGCUAAAUAAGUGGCCAUCAUUUAAAGCCACUAAGUUUAGGGGUUGCUUGUUAUGCAGCAAUAGCCACCUGGUAAAACUGGUGGAGCUCAAUUCCUCUGUUUUUUGUUUGUUUGUUUGUUUGUUUUGAGUCAGGGUCUUAUUCUGUUGCCUAGGCUGGAGUAUAGUGGUGUGAUCCCGGCUCACUGCAAGCUUCACCUCCCCAGGCUCAGGUGAUCCUCCUACCUCAGCCUCCCACGUAGCUGGAACCACAGGUGUGCACCACCAUGCCCAGCUAAUGUUUGUAUUUUUUGCAGAUACGGGGUUUUAUUAUAUUGCCCAGGCUUGUCUCCAACUCCUGGACUUAAGAGAUCCUCCUGCGUUGGCCUCCAAAAGUGCUGGGAUUACAGGUGUAAGCCACUGCACCUGGCCUGGAGCUCAAUUUUUAAGGGAUGAGCUGAUGAAAAUGAACUAGAAGAACCGCAAAAGAAAGGCAGAGAGCUGCAAGAGAACCAGCAAGCAAUGCGAAUCACAGAGACCAGAGAAGUUUCAAGAUGAAGGAAGUGGCCCUCAAGCAAGAUGAAGCCUAAGAGAGUGGUAGCUUUUUACAACAGGAAUACUAAUUUGAAACACCACAUAGUGGUAGAGAGAAUAUUCAACUGGGUCUGACCUAAUCACAUGAGCACUUAGAAGGAAAGUUGUCUCUGGCUAGGAACAAAAGAAUGAGACAAGAAUGCACUCCUGCUAGCCUGGAAGAAAGCAGACACUCAUGUUGUGAACACCUGAUGGAGGGGGGCAGUCUCUUGGAGCUGAGAGCAGUCCUCAGCCAACAGCUAGCAGGGAAAUAAAGACUUCAUUUCUACAAACAUUGGAAAAUGAAUUCUACCAACCAUUCGAAUGAAGUUGGAAUUGGAUUCUUCCCCAGAGCCUCCAAAAAGGAAGACAACCCAGCUGAUUCUCUGAUUUGAGCCUUGCGAGACUCUGAGGAGAAAGUCCAGUGAGUCUCUGUGCCUGAACGUCUCACCUACGGAA